CCAUCUAUUACAUCACGAGUGAUCGGGACGUAACCCUGACAUCACAUACAAUAUCUGGAAAAAAUAAAGACUAUAAAACGAUAAAAGGUUCGAUCCUCAGAACAUGAGGACUCACCACAACUCAAUAUAACCAAAGUGACCUCUAGCCACAGGAAUGUGAAACCUGAAUGUCAAACCCUACAUUUGGAAAAAAUGUUAGCAAGAGUAUGCAUUAGUACAAAAAUGUAACAAGUACGAUAGAAAUGCAUAGAGAUGUAAAAUCAUUCUAAAAAGAGGACAUUUUCAUAAUAUGCAAAGACCAAAUUAAAACAUGUGAUAAGAGGCUAAAAGCACAAUUUCAUAAUCAAGGUCAAUGCAAGUAAACCGUC
rnacentral:lncRNA from 1 species